rnacentral:lncRNA from 1 species
AAUCUCCCAUGUUUUUCCUUGCAUGUUUAAAUAGUUUGAACUUGUUGAGAUACACAUAACACAUUUGACCUUCUCGAACACAACAGUUUGACCUUCACAAAUAAAAAUUGAAGCAUAGUAAUGCAAGACAAACAGAGCAUUCUCUGUAUCCACUUUUUGAAAUGGCAACAUGGGUGCAGGUGCUAGUCGGUGCGUUGUGCAGCGGGCAUCGGUCGGUGGUAGUAGCAUAAGGCGGUCGUCUGCUUUUUCUGAUCGAUGUUCUUGAAUUGGUUUUGAAGAGGAGCAGCAACUUUUUGUUGCACUGCAGAUUCAAAUAGACAAGCAUGUCCCCUCCUGAUGAAUGAAUGGAACGAGCGAGAUGAGUGAGUCUGAAUAUGAUGAAUAUAUAAAGGUCAUGUUUUUUAUUUGGAAUCUCUGGCACUUCUUAGAAUAUAGACUAAAAUAGUAGACAGGAGUGGAGCUUAGUUGCAAGAACAUGAAAAUGAGAAAAGGAAGAAAGGUGAUGCCUGGGAAGGUCGGAUUCGGCCGUCGCUGCAGUCCACGCACGACAACAAGUUCCGAAGAGAGAUUUCAGAGAAAGACAGUGAGGGUCAAUGCCUGUAUGACGGUAGAGUGGCUGCCCUACACCGCGUCCCAGCGGGAGCUCCUCCAGGGACAUGAGUUUGUCGAAGGGGGAUUUCUGUGCUGCGGCUCACGUGGUGAUGUCCAGAACAUACAUGGAAUCACAUCUGAACUUCCACGCCCGAAUUGCUCGCUCCACAAGUCGUCGGUGGAAUGGAAGGGGCGGCUCUAGGGAGGCAAUGUGAGAGGGCUAGACCUGCUUAGGUGGAGAACUAGAGGUAGAGGAGGAGCGGCUUGCACGGGCGACCACCGAAACAAUUCCACCGGUCGGCAGCUAAACGAGAAACAAGGGAACAAACCGGAGCAGCGAAGAGAUUAUGGGCGGCUGCGCAUGGGAGGAGGCGGGGUGCAGGCCAGGGACCAGCGGCAGCGCACUAGAGGAGCGGGAGGGGCUGAAGUCCAAACCCACCUCGCCCUGAAGAAGAGGGCCAGCCUCGCGCCGGAAGGAGGCGGGGGGAACGGCGCACCAGGAGGAGGUGGGGAC